rnacentral:rRNA from 1 species
CGUAGGGUGCGAGCGUUAAUCGGAAUUACUGGGCGUAAAGCGUGCGCAGGCGGUUUGUUAAGUCUGAUGUGAAAGCCCCGGGCCCAACCUGGGAAUGGCAUUGGAAACUGGCAAGCUUGAGUAUGGCAGAGGGGGUGGAAUUCCGCGUGUAGCAGUGAAAUGCGUAGAGAUGCGGAGGAACACCGAUGGCGAAGGCAGCCCCCUGGGCCAAUACUGACGCUCAGGCACGAAAGCGUGGGGGAGCAAACAGGAUU